rnacentral:rRNA from 1 species
UAAUACGUAGGGUGCAAGCGUUGUCCGGAAUUAUUGGGCGUAAAGAGCUCGUAGGCGGUCUGUCACGUCGGAUGUGAAAACUCGGGGCUCAACCCCGAGCCUGCAUUCGAUACGGGCAGACUUGAGUUCGGCAGGGGAGACUGGAAUUCCUGGUGUAGCGGUGAAAUGCGCAGAUAUCAGGAGGAACACCGGUGGCGAAGGCGGGUCUCUGGGCCGAUACUGACGCUGAGGAGCGAAAGCGUGGGGAGCGAACAGGAUUAGAUACCCUGGUAGUCCACGCCGUAAACGGUGGGUGCUAGGUGUGGGGAACUUUCCACGUUCUCCGUGCCGCAGCUAACGCAUUAAGCACCCCGCCUGGGGAGUACGGCCGCAAGGCUA